rnacentral:tRNA from 1 species
AGAAAAGUAAGCUAAUUUUAAAGCUAAUGGGUUCAUACCCCAUUUAUAGAGGAAGUACCUCUCUUCUCUA